UACGGAGGGAGCUAGCGUUAUUCGGAAUUACUGGGCGUAAAGCGCACGUAGGCGGCUUUGUAAGUAAGAGGUGAAAGCCCGGGGCUCAACCCCGGAAUUGCCUUUUAGACUGCAUCGCUCGAAUCAUGGAGAGGUCAGUGGAAUUCCGAGUGUAGAGGUGAAAUUCGUAGAUAUUCGGAAGAACACCAGUGGCGAAGGCGGCUGACUGGACAUGUAUUGACGCUGAGGUGCGAAAGCGUGGGGAGCAAACAGG
rnacentral:rRNA from 1 species